rnacentral:misc_RNA from 1 species
AAAGUCGUAACAAGGUUUCCGUAGGUGAACCUGCGGAAGGAUCAUUAAUAGAGUGGUCUUUGUACCAUUAGGGGCGCUUAGGCGCUCCGUUCUACUUAUACACUUGAUUACAUUUCCCUUUGCUUUCCGCAUCAGCUAUGGUGCGGAACAUCAUAUAUAACUCUGUUUAACUGUAAUGUCUGAAUACAACUUAAUAAGUUAAAACUUUCAACAACGGAUCUCUUGGUUCUC